rnacentral:rRNA from 1 species
GACGAACGCUGGCGGCAUGCCUAAUACAUGCAAGUUGAACGAUGAUAUUCUCUGCUUGCAGAGAAUUGAAGAGUAGCGAACGGGUGAGUAACACGUGGGGAACCUGCCCAUGAGAGGGGGAUAACAUUCGGAAACGGAUGCUAAUACCGCAUAAUGCUUUGGACCGCCUGGUCCAGAGACGAAAGACGGCUUUUGCUGUCACUCAUGGAUGGCCCCGCGCCGUAUUAGCUAGUUGGGGAGGUAAUGGCUCACCAAGGCUGUGAUACGUAGCCGGCCUGAGAGGAUGAUCGGCCACACUGGAACUGAGACACGGCCCAGACUCCUACGGGAGGCAGCAGUGGGGAAUCUUCCACAAUGGGCGAAAGCCUGAUGGAGCAAUGCCGCGUGAGUGAAGAAGGUCUUCGGAUCGUAAAGUUCUGUUGUUGGGGAAGAACAAGUCAAGGAGAAUCUGUCUUGACUUUGACGGUACCUAGCGAGAAAGCCACGGCUAACUACGUG